rnacentral:rRNA from 1 species
AGCGAACGCUGGCGGCAGGCCUAACACAUGCAAGUCGAACGGAUCCUUCGGGAUUAGUGGCGGACGGGUGAGUAACACGUGGGAACGUGCCCUUUGGUUCGGAACAACUCAGGGAAACUUGAGCUAAUACCGGACGUGCCCUUCGGGGGAAAGAUUUAUCGACCUUGGAGCGGCCCGCGUCUGAUUAGCUAGUUGGUGAGGUAACGGCCCACCAAGGCGUCGAUCAGUAGCUGGUCAGAGAGGAUGAUCAGCCACACUGGGACUGAGACACGGCCCAGACUCCUACGGGAGGCAGCAGUGGGGAAUCUUGCGCAGUGGGCGAAAGCCUGACGCAGCCAUGCCGCGUAAAUGGUGAAGGUAUUAGGAUUGUAAAAUUCUUUCAGCGGGGACGAUAAUGACGGUACCCGCAGAGGAAGCUCCGGCUAACUUCGUG